rnacentral:tRNA from 1 species
GGCUACCUGGCGCAAUGGUAGCGCGUUUGGCUUCGAUGGCUCAACGGCUCCUGGCAGACACCAAAAGGUUGCAGGUUCGAGUCCUGCGGUGGUCA